AUGGAAAUUGUACAUACAUAUGGGAAGCCUGACAUCUUCUUGACCAUGACUUGCAACCCUAAAUGGGAAGAGAUAACAAAUGAUUUGCUUCCCAGACAGACGGUGCAAGACCGACCUGAUAUUGUGGCUCACGUGUUCUAUGGCAAACUAGAGGCUAUGAAAGAUAUGUUGCUCAAGAAGAUGGUCCUGGGUGUUGUUGUUGCUUAUGUUUACGUAGUCGAGUUCCAGAAAAGAGGCCUCCCCCACGCACAUUUUUUGUUGAUCAUGGAUUCAAAUUAUAAACUUCUUGUCCCAGAGCAAUAUGACCAACUCAUUUCCGUAGAGCUCCCAGACAAGCAGAAGUAUCCGGAAUUGUAUGCAAUGGUGGUAAAACGUAUGAUGCACGGACCAUGCGGUGCUCUCAACCUGAAUAAUGUGUGCAUGCAAGAUAAUGAAUGCAAGUGCAGAUAUCCGCGGCUGUUCAAUGAGAACACAGCACAUGGCAAUGACUCAUAUCCAUAUUAUCGACGGAGAGACGAUGGAAGACGUGCUAAGGUCUGA
rnacentral:rRNA from 1 species